rnacentral:rRNA from 1 species
AUGAACGCUAGCGGCAGGCUUAACACAUGCAAGUCGAGGGGCAGCAUAAUGGUAGUAAUACUAUUGAUGGCGACCGGCGGACGGGUGCGUAACGCGUAUGCAACCUACCCUUUACAGGGGGAUAACACUGAGAAAUCGGUACUAAUACCCCAUAAUAUUCUGGGAGGCAUCUUUCGGAGUUGAAAGCUUUGGUGGUAAAGGAUGGGCAUGCGUUGUAUUAGCUAGUUGGUAAGGUAACGGCUUACCAAGGCGACGAUACAUAGGGGGACUGAGAGGUUAACCCCCCACAUUGGUACUGAGACACGGACCAAACUCCUACGGGAGGCAGCAGUGAGGAAUAUUGGUCAAUGGACGGAAGUCUGAACCAGCCAUGCCGCGUGCAGGAAGACGGCUCUAUGAGUUGUAAACUGCUUUUGUACGAGGGUAAACGCAGAUACGUGUAUCUGCCUGAAAGUAUCGUACGAAUAAGGAUCGGCUAACUCCGUGCCAGCAGCCGCGGUAAUACGGAGGAUCCAAGCGUUAUCCGGAUUUAUUGGGUUUAAAGGGUGCGUAGGCGGUUUAGUAAGUCAGCGGUGAAAUUUUGGUGCUUAACACCAAACGUGCCGUUGAUACUGCUGGGCUAGAGAGUAGUUGCGGUAGGCGGAAUGUAUGGUGUAGCGGUGAAAUGCUUAGAGAUCAUACAGAACACCGAUUGCGAAGGCAGCUUACCAAACUAUAUCUGACGUUGAGGCACGAAAGCGUGGGGAGCAAACAGGAUUAGAUACCCUGGUAGUCCACGCAGUAAACGAUGAUAGCUCGUUGUCGGCGAUACACAGUCGGUGACUAAGAGAAAUCGAUAAGCUAUCCACCUGGGGAGUACGUUCGCAAGAAUGAAACUCAAAGGAAUUGACGGGGGCCCGCACAAGCGGAGGAACAUGUGGUUUAAUUCGAUGAUACGCGAGGAACCUUACCCGGGCUUGAAAGUUACUGACGAUUCUGGAAACAGGAUUUCCCUUCGGGGCAGGAAACUAGGUGCUGCAUGGUUGUCGUCAGCUCGUGUCGUGAGAUGUUGGGUUAAGUCCCGCAACGAGCGCAACCCCUGUUGCCAGUUGCCAGCAUUAAGUUGGGGACUCUGGCGAGACUGCCGGUGACAAGCCGGAGGAAGGCGGGGAUGACGUCAAAUCAUCAUGCCCCUUAUGACCUGGGCUACACACGUGCUACAAUGGUAGGUACAGAGGGCAGCCACCCAGUGAUGGGGAGCGAAUCUCGAAAGCCUAUCUCAGUUCGGAUUGGAGGCUGAAACUCGCCUCCAUGAAGUUGGAUUCGCUAGUAAUCGCGCAUCAGCCAUGGCGCGGUGAAUACGUUCCCGGGCCUUGUACACACCGCCCGUCAAGCCAUGGGAGUUGGGGGUGCCUGAAGUUCGUGACCGAAAGGAGCGACCUAGGGCAAAACCGAUGACUGGGGCU